AAAUAACUUUGACAUCACUGACAAUCUCCCCCCUUUUUGGGCAAAAUCACUGACACGAGCCGCGCCUCGUGCUGGCGGGGAUUUGGCCACGACACUCCGGACCUCCUACGGCUCCGCCCGCUCCAUGGCUCCCCUCCAAGCCCAAUGCCUCGAUAUUCGCUGGGGCAUGACGCUGCCCGAAGUUGCGAUAUACGGUCGGGUAUUUGUGGGUCGGCUCGGAUAAUGGGUAUUGGAGUAUCGGUAGUAGGGAGUCGGGUGGACUGGCAGCAGUCGGGUAGUUGGGAGUCUCUGGAGUCUCGGGGUAACGCUGCGCUGGAGUGCGCACCUUUGAACCGUGGCUAGUGAUGCCAGAGCCGUCGGACGGAGGGCAACCGGCAGUUCCAGUUCCAGUCCACUAUUGGCAUCGGCAAGUUUCUUGACAAUUUCCAGAUACUUUCCAAGUUGAAAUACCUAUAGCCUUGGCUGGGAAAUACCUAUAGUUUUUGGGCCAAACCCUGAAACCUAAAAAUCCCCCACAAUCGCAUGGCUGAGCAAAAAAACAAAAAAGCUGGUGGAGAAAUAUACAAACGGACAGUGGACAGGCGGACAGGCGGACAAGCGGACAGCGGACAGACGGACAAAAUGGACACAUGUAGCAUGGUCAUCGGAAUGGAAUCAAUGGACCCGACCCAGCACAUGGCAAUAAAAAGUGUCCCCCCUAGUUUUAAGUACUACGGAUAUAUAUAUCUAUAUGGGAUAUAUAUAUAUAUACCAUUGCUCUCUGUCGUCGUUGUGCGUUUUGUGGCUAAAAGCAAAAAAAAAUAAAAAAAAAAAACGAAGCGAAUCAGAAUCGAAACAGAAGCACAUUAAGCCAUGGCUAUAACUAUAAAAUAGACCAGCUUUGCAUACAUUCCCGGACAAUGCUUCAUUGGCCAAGUAUUGGUUGGAAUUGGACAAUUGGAAGAGUACACUUUGGUCUGGUUCUGGUUCUGGUUCCUCUCCUCUUUUUUUUUUAUUUUUGAUUCCACCGAUUUAUUUGCCAGAGAUGACCUUAUGGCGACCAUAAGUUUUGGUGCUGGAUUACCUGAAUCUCUCUUACCUGUAGAGUCCAACCACCCACCUUUGUCAUAAAUUUCAUUUGUAUUUUGUAUUUUAUUUUUCUGGGUGUAACCGUGUGCUGAAAGUGCAAUUAAAGAGUCGCGCGUCUAAUUAAUUGAAUGUAUCUUUAUGGCGAUGCACUAACUCUAUGGACUAUGGACACCGACCGCAGAAUUAAUUAUGAUUUGACUUUGGUGGGUUAAAGGAGCGUUUUUGUGGUGCGUUGCAGACUAACAAAUGGCUUAGGAUGCCUGGCUGGCUGGCUGGGUCAGGAUGUCUGCCAAGGACUGGGCCUGGUCCUGAGCAAGGAUGCUGCAGACAUAUUGUUGGACUUACAUUGGACGUGCUUUUUAAUUUGCCUUAUCUCGGCCAGGUCUCAGCUCCUCUUUUUCUGGCCCAGACUCUGGGGCGCACUUAAUUUAUACCUUACUCGGCCAUUGGGCAAUGGCUAAGGCUAAGGCGACUCGAGUCAAGUAAAUUAUUUUCGUCAGGUUAAUUGGAAUUGGCUCGCCCGGAGCCACGAACUUAUAUACAUAUACAUAUACUUAUAUUCUGCGUGAUUAUCUGCUGGUUUUGUGAUUAAAAGAAAAUCUGAAUCGCUAA